UAUUUUUUCUUACUAUAAAAAAUAAAAUAAGUAAAUAAUUUACAUAGUUAACAUAAAAUAGAAAAUUUUACUCAAUUAACAAAAAUCAGUUAAAUAAAUAGUAUAAAAAUUAAACUUAAUUACACAAUUAACUCAACUCAAACAAAUAAUAUAAAUUAAAUAAAUUAUACGAUUAGCAUAAACUAAAUAAAAUACACCAAUAUACCCAUCUCCCUCGUCUGCUCCUUUGUUGCCGACGACACAACCAAAUCAAUCGAGCUUCGUCGGCCUCUUCUUCUUCGAAAUCGUCGACGAGGAUGAAGGAGGAAGAACGACGACUUGGAAGCUCUAAUUAAUUAGUUAAUAAUCGUGGACCCUGCUAGUUGGGGGUGAGUUUUCUUCUUCAAUAUUCAUAUUAGAUAAAAUCCAAGAGAUGAGUAUUUUGCGAGUGAACACUGGAAUUCAUGCCCGCCGGAGAAGGAAUGUGAAUCAGAGUUUUAGAGGGAAAAACUCUAAAUAGUUGGAACCAGUACUUUAUUUACAGAAAUAUAUAACCGCUCAUGUUGCUCUCCCCUAAUAAUAUGAAGUACUCAAAUUAGUUGUCCCUUUUACUCACGACCAGUAGAGUACUCUCGGUCUGAAGGGGUAAAUGAUAGUAUUGGUCUAUGGUGUACGGCGGGGGUGGCUGAAGGUGAAGGUGAAGGUGAAGGUGAAGGUGAAGGGACGGAAGAUUAGGAGUGAGAGAGGAUCUGUUUAAUUUGUUUAUUGUUUUGUUUAAUUAAUAUUUUACUAUUUUACCUUUCAAUAUAUCAAUAAUGC
rnacentral:lncRNA from 1 species